GCUGGGUGUGGUGGUGCACGCCUGUAAUCCCGGCUACUUGGGAAGCUGAGGCAGGAGAUUCACAAGUUUGAGGCCAACUUUUGCAAGUUACAGAGGUCCUAAGCAACUUAGCAAAACCCUGUCUCAA
rnacentral:sRNA from 1 species